rnacentral:rRNA from 1 species
AUUGAACGCUGGCGGCAUGCUGUACACAUGCAAGUCGAACGGUAACAGGCCUUCGGGUGCUGACGAGUGGCGAACGGGUGAGUAAUGCAUCGGAACGUGCCCAAUCGUGGGGGAUAACGUAGCGAAAGUUACGCUAAUACCGCAUAAGCCCUGAGGGGGAAAGUGGGGGACCGCAAGGCCUCACGCGAAUGGAGCGGCCGAUGUCAGAUUAGCUAGUUGGUGGGGUAAAGGCUCACCAAGGCGACGAUCUGUAGCGGGUCUGAGAGGAUGAUCCGCCACACUGGGACUGAGACACGGCCCAGACUCCUACGGGAGGCAGCAGUGGGGAAUUUUGGACAAUGGGCGCAAGCCUGAUCCAGCCAUGCCGCGUGCGGGACGAAGGCCUCGGUUGUAACCGCUUCUAGCCGAAGAAUACGACUGUUUUAAUUACUAGACAGUGGAUGACGGUACCGGAAGAAGAAGCA